rfam:Pseudomonas sp. 5 contig6, whole genome shotgun sequence.
UGUUAUGGCAGCCGUGCGCGGGCAGACUUUAGUCUGGCCGGGUUCCUAGGUCUCCGGUCUCUCACCCCGCGUGCGGCUGCCACCCUA